rnacentral:rRNA from 1 species
GUGGGGAAUAUUGGACAAUGGGCGAAAGCCUGAUCCAGCCAUGCCGCGUGUGUGAAGAAGGUCUUCGGAUUGUAAAGCACUUUAAGUUGGGAGGAAGGGCAGUAAGUUAAUACCUUGCUGUUUUGACGUUACCGACAGAAUAAGCACCGGCUAACUUCGUGCCAGCAGCCGCGGUAAUACGAAGGGUGCAAGCGUUAAUCGGAAUUACUGGGCGUAAAGCGCGCGUAGGUGGUUUUGUAAGUUGGAGGUGAAAUCCCCGGGCUCAACCUGGGAACUGCCUCCAAAACUGCAUGACUAGAGUACGGUACAGGGUAGUGGAAUUUCCUGUGUAGCGGUGAAAUGCGUAGAUAUAGGAAGGAACACCAGUGGCGAAGGCGACUACCUGGACUGAUACUGACACUGAGGUGCGAAAGCGUGGGGAGCAAACAGGAUUAGAUACCCUUGUAGUCC